UGAUCGAUGAUGACUCCCACAAAAACAUUCCUUGGAAGCAGAACAAAAUGAGUGAAAACUCUAUUUAAAAAAAGUCUUUUCUGAAAUGCA
ensembl:snoRNA SNORD116 Small nucleolar RNA SNORD116